rnacentral:lncRNA from 1 species
GUGAGCUCUAUCCACUAUACUACUCUGACUCUCUAUGCGAGUAAAGAAAAUUGUCCAUGAACUUUCCUAUUGAUUAGGUAUCAUUAUGAAUCUCUUCUUUGUCUUUUAGGCCAAUGACAACUUUGAAGCUUAUUCUGUUUCAAGACUCACAAAUAUGCCAUCUCAGUAGAAACAUGCUCUGACCUCAGAAGGGGAACAGCAUCUCCAAGAACCAGAUGAAAAAAAAGAGGAAGUCCCCAUCUUGGGUUUAAAGCACAAGUUUGGAGUGUCACCAAAAGGCAAGACAAACUGCUUCAGACCAGCGAAAAAGCCACUCUUGAUCUUUGGAAUGAAGUCCAAGGGGAGUCUCAACCUUUAUCUUUGUACUGAGUGGGUUGGGUGAUGCAAAUGUAUAUGAUCUGUCCUUGGCAAAGAAAAGGUCAAUUUGAAGAUUUUGAUUAUGUGAUUACUACGGCUGUGUUGAGGUAACCUUGGUGUAUCCUCUGACAGUUCAUAUGAAUGGACUCUAAUGGACUACACUUUUGUAUUCAUCAAGGAAGAUCUGGUGAAGCAAUGCGGCACCUCUGCAAACAGUGUAGGUUGAGAGCCCUUUUUCACGAUUAAAGGUCAUGGAAACAUUUCUUCACAGGAGAGCCAAGAUGAUUCUAAAAGUUCUUAUGCCAUUAAAGAAGUUCAUGCAUAUCAUAUUGUGACAUUCUUUUUAUGGCCUUUCUGCCAUAGUAUUAAUUAUAUUUAUAUUUAUUUCGGGGGGCAGAACGUCUUGCAGUUUUUCAAAGAACUGUUUAUUUAGACACAGUGCAACCCCUAUUUCCCUUCAGGAGACCGAACCUAGGAAUGAGUGAGGAAUCCCCGUUCCUGGUACAGUGCACCCAUUUCAGCUGAGAGAAAUUCUACUUAUCAACAGUCCAGAAACAAAUUUCUGUACCUUCAAACAAGCCUUACAAGGCUGAUCACUCAAUUUUUCAAUAAUACUUAUGUAUUUUGCAAUAAUUUAUAUAUCCCACUGUAGUCACAACUUGAAAUAAAGAACUGAGUGCUGAAUUGAGUAGCUCCA